UGAGUGUAACACUUCGAGAUGAAAUUUGUGUUGACGAUAAUAAUUUCUGCAUUUUAUUUUGCACCAUCACUCAUGCAAGAAGAUGAUUAUUAUGAUGAUUAUUCUCCUCUCGAACUUGCCGACUUCGUUUACAUUCGAUCGAGUAGUGUAGAAGAUCAGGGUGGGUAUUUUAUAAGAAACCAAGAGAUGACAACGACUCCUCAAAAAAGUCAACCGGUAUAUAGAAUGUGUACAAAUAAGAAUAAGAAUAUUAUAUGUAUUGAGAAAAUUUCAACAAAUAUUUCUUCAGUAAACGGUACAGAUUGCACACCUCAAAAAAUAAAACAAGUUACCUGUGAGAAAUGUUACGAAAUCCAAGGUAAUGGUACUGUACACAAAUUAUUACAUUCAAUAAGAGCACGACCGAAAGAAAUUAAAAUUUUUUGCAGAAACCUAAUUUACGUAAAAUGCUACGAUUUUAAGACAGAGUAUGUGGAUGUAGGAUGUGCUCUUUGCAAAUAAAAUGAGGUUCUUUCGCUUACAUUUUCAAUAAAAUUUAUCUGCAAUA